rnacentral:tRNA from 1 species
UCCCUGGUGGCUCAGAUGGUAAAGUGUCUGCCUGUAAUGCAGGAGACCCAGGUUCGAUCCCUGGGUUGGGAA